AACGAACGCUGGCGGCAGGCUUAACACAUGCAAGUCGAGCGCCCCGCAAGGGGAGCGGCAGACGGGUGAGUAACGCGUGGGAAUCUACCCAUCACUACGGAACAACUCCGGGAAACUAGAGCUAAUACCGUAUACGUCCUUCGGGAGAAGGAUUUAUCGGUGAUGGAUGAGCCCGCGUUGGAUUAGCUAGUUGGUGGGGUAAUGGCCCACCAAGGCGACGAUCCAUAGCUGGUCUGAGAGGAUGAUCAGCCACACUGGGACUGAGACACGGCCCAGACUCCUACGGGAGGCAGCAGUGGGGAAUAUUGGACAAUGGGCGCAAGCCUGAUCCAGCCAUGCCGCGUGAGUGAUGAAGGCCCUAGGGUUGUAAAGCUCUUUCACCGGUGAAGAUAAUGACGGUAACCGGAGAAGAAGCCCCGGCUAACUUCGUGCCAGCAGCCGCGGUAA
rnacentral:rRNA from 1 species